CCGUAGUCAUAUGCUUGUUUAAAGAUUAAGCCAUGCAUGUCUAAGUAUAAGCAAAAAUACAGCAAAACUGCAAAUGGCUCAUUAAAACAGUUAUGGUUUACUUGAUAAUAGUUUUUACAUGGAUAACCGUGGUAAUUCUACAGCUAAUACAUGAGCAAAAUCUCAACUUUAUUAGAAGAGACGCAUUUAUUAGAUAAAAAGCCAAUGCAUGCUUUUACAGUAUGAAAAUUGGUGAUUUAUAAUAACUUAGCAAAUCGCAAAGUGAAAACAGGCGAUAAAUCAUUCAAGUUUCUGACCUAUCAGCUUUCGACGGUAUGGUAUUGGCUUACCGUGGCAGUGACGGUUAACGGGGGAUUAGGGUUCGAUUCCGGAGAGGGAGCCUGAGAAACGGCUACCACAUCUAAGGAAGGCAGCCGGCGCGCAAAUUACCCAAUUCUAACAGUUUGAGAGAGGUAGUAACAAGAAAUAACAAUACAAGGCAGUUAAAAUGCUUUGUAAUUGGAAUGAUAGAAAUUUAAACCCUUUUUAAAGUAUCAAUUGGAGGGCAAGUCUGGUGCCAGCAGCCGCGGUAAUUCCAGCUCCAAUAGCGUAUAUUAAAAUUGUUGCAGUUAAAAAGCUCGUAGUUGAAGUUCUGCUAAAAGUAACCGGUCUGCUUUUAAUAAAGGUGGUAUCUUGGUGUGUAUUUAGCAAUGAUGUCCUUUGAAGUGUUUUUUACUUUAUUGUAAUAAAGCAUAUUCAGGACUUUUACUUUGAGAAAAUUAGAGUGUUUCUAGCAGGCUGACGCUUUGAAUACUGCAGCAUGGAAUAAUAAGAUAGGAUUUUAGUUCUACAUUAUUGGUUUUAAGAGCUAAAUUAAUGAUGAUA
rnacentral:rRNA from 1 species